AUUUUAACACUAGUCGAGAACAGUUCAAAAAAAUUUUAUUACAUUUUUUUUUGUCAGAAAAUUUUUUGCCUCGAGAAAGGAAUUUAUCGCUUUUAAACGCAAAAUGUCUAAGUGGAAUCGAUUCAGCACAUUGGUGCAGUCCGUACGUGUCCUGGCCCUCCGGGAUAUCGUGAAGUUGGCGGUGAACAAUAUGACAAGAUACACCGGUUCUGUUGGCGGGGUUAUAGUCAAGGAUUCGUAUAAUAUGCAAGCAAAGGAGAAGCUAUCUCCAGAGGAGGGACUUAAGGAUGAGCUUCGAGAAGAUCGAAUCACAAAGGUCCUGUGCUCAAAUUCAAAAAACGCCGAGAGAGGCGGUUCCUGAUGCGAGAUCCCUAUGCACACGGGAUCCACAUAUUGUAACGUUCAUUUUGAUGUUUUUGUCACUACCUACUACGAAAGCAAAAAAAUAAUUUUGACGGGAAGGUUUCAUAAUCAAUUGCGAGGCUAACUUAAUAUAUACAAAUGCAUAUCUGUGGUCCUAACGUAUUCUAAAUUAUAUUGUUAUUAUUAAUUCGUGCAGGCAAAAUGUAACGCCACGGAAUAACAGUAAAUCGUUCUAACAUUUGAA
rnacentral:sRNA from 1 species